AGUGAACGCUGGCGGUAGGCCUAACACAUGCAAGUCGAACGGCAGCACAGUAAGAGCUUGCUCUUACGGGUGGCGAGUGGCGGACGGGUGAGGAAUACAUCGGAAUCUACUUUUUCGUGGGGGAUAACGUAGGGAAACUUACGCUAAUACCGCAUACGACCUACGGGUGAAAGCAGGGGAUCUUCGGACCUUGCGCGAUUGAAUGAGACGAUGUCGGAUUAGCUAGUUGGCGGGGUAAAGGCCCACCAAGGCGACGAUACGUAGCUGGUCUGAGAGGAUGAUCAGCCACACUGGAACUGAGACACGGUCCAGACUCCUACGGGAGGCAGCAGUGGGGAAUAUUGGGCAAUGGGUGCAAGCCUGAUCCAGCCAUACCGCGUGAGUGAAGAAGGCCUUCGGGUUGUAAAGCCCUUUUGUUGGGAAAGAAAAGCAGCAGGUUAAUACCCCGCUGUUCUGACGGUACCCAAAGAAUAAGCACCGGCUAACUUCGUG
rnacentral:rRNA from 1 species